rnacentral:rRNA from 1 species
UACGUAGGGUGCAAGCGUUGUCCGGAAUUAUUGGGCGUAAAGAGCUCGUAGGCGGUUCGUCGCGUCGGCUGUGAAAACCCGGAGCUCAGCUCCGGGCCUGCAGUCGAUACGGGCGGACUUGAGUGUUGCAGGGGAGACUGGAAUUCCUGGUGUAGCGGUGAAAUGCGCAGAUAUCAGGAGGAACACCGGUGGCGAAGGCGGAUCUCUGGGCCAUUACUGACGCUGAGGAGCGAAAGCGUGGGGAGCGAACAGG